rnacentral:rRNA from 1 species
UGAAUACGAGAUGCUACGGCGUCGAAGCAGUCUAUGUCAUACUUCCAAGAAAAGCUUGCACUGUCAUAAACAAAUAAUGCCUGUACCAUAACCGACACAGGUGGGUAGGUAGAGUAUACUAAGGGGCGCGAGAUAACUCUCUCUAAGGAACUCGGCAAAAUGACUCCGUAACUUCGGGAGAAGGAGUGCCUUAUUUAUAAGGUUGCAAUAACAAGAUCCAAGCAACUGUUUACCAAAAACACAGGUCUCCGCUAAGUCGUAAGACGAUGUAUGGGGGCUGACGCCUGCCCAGUGCCAGAAGGUUAAAGAAGUUGGUUAGCAUCCGCGAAGCUGAUAACUGAAGCCCUGGUGAACGGCGGCCGUAACUAUAACGGUCCUAAGGUAGCGAAAUUCCUUGUCGGGUAAGUUCCGACCCGCACGAAAGGCGUAAUGAUUUGGAUACUGUCUCGGAGAGGGGCUCGGUGAAAUAGACUUGUCUGUGAAGAUGCGGACUACCUGCACCAGGACAGAAAGACCCUAUGAAGCUUUACUGUAACCUGAAAUUGAAAUUGGACUUUACUUGCGCAGUAUAGGUGGGAGGCGUUGAGAAUAUUCUUGCGGGAUUAUUGGAGCCAUCAGUGAGAUACCACUCUUGUAAUGUUAGAUUUCUAACUUUGUAUCAUUAUCUGGUCAAAGAACAGUUUCAGGCGGGCAGUUUGACUGGGGCGGUCGCCUCCUAAACGGUAACGGAGGCGCACAAAGGUUUCCUCUGAACGGGUAGAAAUCGUAUCUAGAGUGUAAAGGCAUAAGGAAGCUUGACUGUGAGACCUACAAGUCGAGCAGGGACGAAAGUCGGUCUUAGUGAUCUGACGGUGCUGAGUGGAAAGGCCGUCACUCAACGGAUAAAAGUUACUCUAGGAUAACAGGCUGAUCUCCCCCAAGAGUUCACAUCGACGGGGAGGUUUGGCACCUCGAUGUCGGCUCAUCGCAUCCUGGGGCGGUAGUACGUCCCAAGGGUUGGGCUGUUCGCCCAUGAAAGCGGUACGCGAGCUGGGUUCAGAACGUCGUGAGACAGUUCGGUCCAUAUCCGGUGUAGGCGUUAGAAUAUUGAGAGGAGCCUUCUUUAGUACGAGAGGACCGAGAAGGACAUACCUCUGGUGUACCAGUUAUCGUGCCAACGGUAAACGCUGGGUAGCUAUGUGUGGAGUGGAUAACCGCUGAAAGCAUCUAAGUGGGAAGCCCACCUCAAGAUAAGUAUUCUCA